CCCUUUGGUCUUAUCUGCAGUAGUAACUG
rnacentral:piRNA from 1 species